GACGAACGCUGGCGGCGUGCCUAAUACAUGCAAGUCGAGCGGAGUUUGAAUGGAAGCUUGCUUCCAUUCUUACUUAGCGGCGGACGGGUGAGUAACACGUAGGCAACCUGCCCUCAAGACUGGGAUAACUACCGGAAACGGUAGCUAAUACCGGAUAAUUUCUUUCCUCUCCUGAAGAGAGAAUGAAAGGCGGAGCAAUCUGUCACUUGAGGAUGGGCCUGCGGCGCAUUAGCUAGUUGGUGAGGUAACGGCUCACCAAGGCGACGAUGCGUAGCCGACCUGAGAGGGUGAACGGCCACACUGGGACUGAGACACGGCCCAGACUCCUACGGGAGGCUG
rnacentral:rRNA from 1 species